UUAAGUUAUUAAGGGCGCACGGUGGAUGCCUUGGCACUAGAAGCCGAUGAAGGACGUUACUAACGACGAUAUGCUUUGGGGAGCUGUAAGUAAGCUUUGAUCCAGAGAUUUCCGAAUGGGGAAACCCAGCAUGAGUUAUGUCAUGUUAUCGAUAUGUGAAUACAUAGCAUAUCAGAAGGCACACCCGGAGAACUGAAACAUCUUAGUACCCGGAGGAAGAGAAAGAAAAUUCGAUUCCCUUAGUAGCGGCGAGCGAAACGGGAAGAGCCCAAACCAACAAGCUUGCUUGUUGGGGUUGUAGGACACUCUAUACGGAGUUACAAAGGACGACAUUAGACGAAUCAUCUGGAAAGAUGAAUCAAAGAAGGUAAUAAUCCUGUAGUCGAAAAUGUUGUCUCUCUUGAGUGGAUCCUGAGUACGACGGAGCACGUGAAAUUCCGUCGGAAUCUGGGAGGACCAUCUCCUAAGGCUAAAUACUCUCUAGUGACCGAUAGUGAACCAGUACCGUGAGGGAAAGGUGAAAAGCACCCCGGAAGGGGAGUGAAAUAGAACCUGAAACCGUGUGCUUACAAGUAGUCAGAGCCCGUUAAUGGGUGAUGGCGUGCCUUUUGUAGAAUGAACCGGCGAGUUACGAUUUGAUGCAAGGUUAAGCAGUAAAUGUGGAGCCGUAGCGAAAGCGAGUCUGAAUAGGGCGUUUAGUAUUUGGUCGUAGACCCGAAACCAGGUGAUCUACCCUUGGUCAGGUUGAAGUUCAGGUAACACUGAAUGGAGGACCGAACCGACUUACGUUGAAAAGUGAGCGGAUGAACUGAGGGUAGCGGAGAAAUUCCAAUCGAACCUGGAGAUAGCUGGUUCUCUCCGAAAUAGCUUUAGGGCUAGCCUCAAGUGAUGAUUAUUGGAGGUAGAGCACUGUUUGGACGAGGGGCCCCUCUCGGGUUACCGAAUUCAGACAAACUCCGAAUGCCAAUUAAUUUAACUUGGGAGUCAGAACAUGGGUGAUAAGGUCCGUGUUCGAAAGGGAAACAGCCCAGACCACCAGCUAAGGUCCCAAAAUAUAUGUUAAGUGGAAAAGGAUGUGGCGUUGCCCAGACAACUAGGAUGUUGGCUUAGAAGCAGCCAUCAUUUAAAGAGUGCGUAAUAGCUCACUAGUCGAGUGACACUGCGCCGAAAAUGUACCGGGGCUAAACAUAUUACCGAAGCUGUGGAUUGUCCUUUGGACAAUGGUAGGAGAGCGUUCUAAGGGCGUUGAAGCAUGAUCGUAAGGACAUGUGGAGCGCUUAGAAGUGAGAAUGCCGGUGUGAGUAGCGAAAGACGGGUGAGAAUCCCGUCCACCGAUUGACUAAGGUUUCCAGAGGAAGGCUCGUCCGCUCUGGGUUAGUCGGGUCCUAAGCUGAGGCCGACAGGCGUAGGCGAUGGAUAACAGGUUGAUAUUCCUGUACCACCUAUAAUCGUUUUAAUCGAUGGGGGGACGCAGUAGGAUAGGCGAAGCGUGCGAUUGGAUUGCACGUCUAAGCAGUAAGGCUGAGUAUUAGGCAAAUCCGGUACUCGUUAAGGCUGAGCUGUGAUGGGGAGAAGACAUUGUGUCUUCGAGUCGUUGAUUUCACACUGCCGAGAAAAGCCUCUAGAUAGAAAAUAGGUGCCCGUACCGCAAACCGACACAGGUAGUCAAGAUGAGAAUUCUAAGGUGAGCGAGCGAACUCUCGUUAAGGAACUCGGCAAAAUGACCCCGUAACUUCGGGAGAAGGGGUGCUCUUUAGGGUUAACGCCCAGAAGAGCCGCAGUGAAUAGGCCCAAGCGACUGUUUAUCAAAAACACAGGUCUCUGCUAAACCGUAAGGUGAUGUAUAGGGGCUGACGCCUGCCCGGUGCUGGAAGGUUAAGAGGAGUGGUUAGCUUCUGCGAAGCUACGAAUCGAAGCCCCAGUAAACGGCGGCCGUAACUAUAACGGUCCUAAGGUAGCGAAAUUCCUUGUCGGGUAAGUUCCGACCCGCACGAAAGGCGUAACGAUUUGGGCACUGUCUCAACGAGAGACUCGGUGAAAUCAUAGUACCUGUGAAGAUGCAGGUUACCCGCGACAGGACGGAAAGACCCCGUGGAGCUUUACUGUAGCCUGAUAUUGAAAUUCGGCACAGCUUGUACAGGAUAGGUAGGAGCCUUUGAAACGUGAGCGCUAGCUUACGUGGAGGCGCUGGUGGGAUACUACCCUAGCUGUGUUGGCUUUCUAACCCGCACNNNNACUUAUCGUGGUGGGAGACAGUGUCAGGCGGGCAGUUUGACUGGGGCGGUCGCCUCCUAAAAGGUAACGGAGGCGCUCAAAGGUUCCCUCAGAAUGGUUGGAAAUCAUUCAUAGAGUGUAAAGGCAUAAGGGAGCUUGACUGCGAGACCUACAAGUCGAGCAGGGUCGAAAGACGGACUUAGUGAUCCGGUGGUUCCGCAUGGAAGGGCCAUCGCUCAACGGAUAAAAGCUACCCCGGGGAUAACAGGCUUAUCUCCCCCAAGAGUUCACAUCGACGGGGAGGUUUGGCACCUCGAUGUCGGCUCAUCGCAUCCUGGGGCUGUAGUCGGUCCCAAGGGUUGGGCUGUUCGCCCAUUAAAGCGGUACGCGAGCUGGGUUCAGAACGUCGUGAGACAGUUCGGUCCCUAUCCGUCGUGGGCGUAGGAAAUUUGAGAGGAGCUGUCCUUAGUACGAGAGGACCGGGAUGGACAUACCUCUGGUGUACCAGUUGUCGUGCCAACGGCAUAGCUGGGUAGCUAUGUGUGGACGGGAUAAGUGCUGAAAGCAUCUAAGCAUGAAGCCCCCCUCAAGAUGAGAUUUCCCAACUUCGGUUAUAAGAUCCCUCAAAGAUGAUGAGGUUAAUAGGUUCGAGGUGGAAGCAUGGUGACAUGUGGAGCUGACGAAUACUAAUCGAUCGAAGACUUAAUCAA
rnacentral:rRNA from 1 species